GACGAACGCUGGCGGCGUGCCUAAUACAUGCAAGUAGGACGCAGUUGCGAACGGGUGAGUAACGCGUAGGUAACUGCCUAUUAGAGGGGGAUAACUAUUGGAAACGAUAGCUAAUACCGCAUACUAGUAGAUGGACCUGCGUUGUAUUAGCUAGUAGGUAGGGUAAUUGCCUACCUAGGCGACGGUACAUCGCCGACCUUAGGGGGGGGUCGGGCACACAGGGACUGAGACACGGCCCAGACUCCUACGGGAAGCAGCAGUAAGGAAUCUUCGGCAAUGGGGGGAAACCUGACCGGGCAACGCCGCGUGAGUGAAGAAGGUUUUCGGAUCGUAAAGCUCUGUUGUUAAGAAAGCGGUACUUAACCAGAAAGGGACGGCUAACUACGUGCCAGCAGCCGCGGUAAUAC
rnacentral:rRNA from 1 species